GACGAACGCUGGCGGCGUGCUUAACACAUGCAAGUCGAACGGAGAGGCCCUGCUUUUGUGGGGUGAUGGAGGGGCGAACGGGUGCGUAACACGUGAGUAACCUGCCCUUGACUUUGGGAUAACUUCAGGAAAGUGGGGCUAAUACCGGAUAGGAGAUCCUGCUGCAUGGAGGGGGUUGGAAAGUUUCGGCGGUUGUGGAUGGACUCGCGGCUUAUCGGCUUGUUGGUGGGGUAGUGGCUGACCAAGUCUUUGACGGGUAGGCGGCCCGGGAGGGUGGCCGGCCACCUGGGGCCUGCGAGAGGCCCCAGACGCCUACGGUAGGCAGUAGGGGGGAACAUGGCACAAUGGGCGGAAGCCUGAGGCAGCAACGCCGCGGUUGGGAUGACGGCCUUCGGGUUGUAAACCGCUGUCGCCUGUGACGAAGCGUUAGUGACGGUAAUGGGUAAAUAAGCACCGGCUAACUACGUG
rnacentral:rRNA from 1 species